GCCGUCGUAGCUCAGAUGGCAGAGCAGCCGCUUUGUAAGCGGACGCGCGCGGGUUCGAUGCCUGCCGGCGGCACCA
rnacentral:tRNA from 1 species